UAGGCCGGUGUAAGGGAUUUGCACAGUA
rnacentral:misc_RNA from 1 species